ensembl:lncRNA
CGGAGGGCGAAGUCGGGCGGUCGGUCGUGAUUCAGCGCUUCUGUUUUUAACCGGCCCGUGCCCGGUUCGGUGUCGCGGGGAUGAAGGGCUCCCAGCGCCGCGCCGGUGCCUCGUUGGGCGUUCGGAGCGAACGUGAGGUAAUUUCUGCUUUUUGGUUGGUUCUUUUUUUGUUGUUGUUGUUGUUUUUGUUUUUUUUUUUUCCUUCAGGCUUUGCGCUCGGAGGGAAAACCCGGUUUAAAACGAAAGCCCCUCCGCAGCGCUUUCCCCACCUCCCGCGCACGCUGUGGUGGAGAGAGGGGCAGAACGGCGGUGUUUCCCUUUGGACGACGAGCGCCGGCUGACGGCCCGCCGCCCCCAGGCACUGCCACGGCACCACAGAUGGCCUCAGCUGUGCCGGGGGAGGAACGGGUUGGGUGUCAGGAAGCGUUUCUUGCCACAAAGACCAGUGAUGCUGUCAGCGCUGGGCACCUGCGUGAGGAAACGCCGGCGCAGUUGUCAGGAGAGCGUGGAAAGAAGAUAUUUAUCGCAUUAGCCCUGCACGAUCAAGGAGAAGGCUGGCUGUUUGAGGAUGCUUUAUUAAUGAAUGCUAGAGGACAUCUUCACCCCUCCUAAGGCACAAAUUGGGGAGGUAGUCGGCCCUGAAGCCGUGGAAUUCCCUCGCACGAAGAAGAGGGUUUUUAAACCCAAAGGCACAAUCCAUGCAGGCACUCCACCACAGGCAUCUUAGUUUCUCAAACCAGAGACCAGCACAACAGACCUUCUAAAGUCUC